rnacentral:rRNA from 1 species
ACGGACUUAACCGAAGUAUUUAUAUUUUGGAGCGGUUAGUGGCGGACUGGUGAGUAACACGUAAGCAACCUGCCUAUUAGAGGGGAAUAACAGUGAGAAAUCAUUGCUAAUACCGCAUAUGCUGUGAGUAUCGCAUGAUACAAACAGGAAAGGAGCAAUCCGCUAAUAGAUGGGCUUGCGUCUGAUUAGAUAGUUGGUGGGGUAAAGGCCUACCAAGUCGACGAUCAGUAGCCGAACUGAGAGGUUGAACGGCCACAUUGGGACUGAGAUACGGCCCAGACUCCUACGGGAGGCAGCAGUCGGGAAUAUUGCACAAUGGAGGAAACUCUGAUGCAGUGACGCCGCGUGCAGGAAGAAGGUUUUCGGAUUGUAAACUGCUUUAGACAGGGAAGAAACAAGACAGUACCUGUAGAAUAAGCUCCGGCUAACUACGUGCCAGCAGCCGCGGUAAUACGUAGGGAGCAAGCGUUAUCCGGAUUUAUUGGGUGUAAAGGGUGCGUAGACGGGAAUUUAAGUUAGUUGUGAAAUCCCUCGGCUUAACUGAGGAACUGCAACUAAAACUGAAUUUCUUGAGUGCGGGAGAGGAAAGUGGAAUUCCUAGUGUAGCGGUGAAAUGCGUAGAUAUUAGGAGGAACACCAGUGGCGAAGGCGACUUUCUGGACCGUAACUGACGUUGAGGCACGAAAGUGUGGGGAGCAAACAGGAUUAGAUACCCUGGUAGUCCACACUGUAAACGAUGGAUACUAGGUGUAGGGAAUAUUAAGUUUUCUGUGCCGUCGCAAA